GCAUAUCAAUAAGCGGAGGAAAAGAAACCAACAGGGAUUGCCUUAGUAACGGCGAGUGAAGCGGCAAAAGCUCAAAUUUGAAAUCUAACACUUUCAGUGUUCGAGUUGUAAUUUGAAGAAAGUUUCUCUGAGUAGUCCUUUAUCUAUGUUCCUUGGAACAGGACGUCAUAGAGGGUGAGAACCCCGUAUGAUUUUGGAUCCUACUCUCUGUGAGAUUCUUUCGAAGAGUCGAGUUGUUUGGGAAUGCAGCUCUAAGUGGGUGGUAAAUUCCAUCUAAAGCUAAAUAUUGGCGAGAGACCGAUAGCGAACAAGUACAGUGAUGGAAAGAUGAAAAGAACUCUGAAGAGAGAGUGAAAAAGUACGUGAAAUUGCUGAAAGGGAAGGGCUUGAGGUCAGACUUGGUGUUUAAUGAUUAUCUUCUCUUCUUGAGGAGUGCACUCGUUUUUCACCGGGCCAAUAUCAGUUUUUGGGGUAGAGCACCUCUUGGAAUGUGGCUUCCUUCGGGGAGUGUUAUAGCCUUGAGACGAUCUAUUUCCAGAGACUGAGGACUGCGCAUUUUUGCAAGGAUAUUGGCGUAAUGACCUUAAGCCGCCCGUCUUGAAACACGGACCAAGGAGUCUAACGUCUAUGCGAGUGUUUGGGUGUAAAACCCGUACGCGUAAUGAAAGUGAACGUAGGUUGGGGCCCUUUAAGGGUGCACAAUCGACCGAUCCUGAUGUUUUCAGAUGGAUUUGAGUAAGAGCAUAGCUGUUGGGACCCGAAAGAUGGUGAACUAUGCCUGAAUAGGGUGAAGCCAGAGGAAACUCUGGUGGAAGCUCGUAGCGGUUCUGACGUGAAAAUCGAUCGUCGAAUUUGGGUAUAGGGGCGAAAGACUAAUCGAACCAUCUAGUAGCUGGUUCCUGCCGA
rnacentral:rRNA from 1 species